rnacentral:lncRNA from 1 species
AGGGCAUGAACUUUCGACGGUGCUCUUGAUGCUGUCAACCACAUCAUACCCCCGAACGGAAUUGGCGUUGGGAACUGCAUCUUUCUCACUUUGUGUGAUGUUACCACCAACAUCCAGCAAAAUGGACCCAUCACAUCCCUAGUCAAAGAAACAAAUAACAGUUAUCAUGAGUGAUGAAUAAUCUGUGAUAGAAUGAAGGGAAAAAGAAAUGGAAGAUGGAAGUUUACAUCGACAAAGCAAUCAUGAAAGUGGAGACGAAGGAGGCUUGCAGCAAUACGUGAAUCAGAUGUCAAAGCCUGCUGCACAGAAUUCCUGACAAUGGAUGAUACAUUGGAGCAUGUGGUGGAAUAGAAGGUUGCACUCAAUUGCCCUUCUGAAGGGAAAACCAAUGUUAGCACUGAGAAAAUGGUGGCCAGAAGAGAAUAAUAAUGAUAAGUAUUAUUAGUCGAAAACAUGGUUGAUAAUUUGAUGUAUUGAUUCCCAAAUAUUGGUGGGUCUUGUGAUUCAUAAUAUAGGUGAUUUGUGUCUAUAUAUAUAUAGAAAAGAAAAACGCGUCAUGCAUUUUUUUUUUACUUUAUAAUGUGGAAAAAACUCUUUAACUGAUUUUAAUGAUAAAUAUUAAAUCAUGAUAUAUAAUUAAAUUAUUGAAUAAAAAAUAAUUCUAGAUAGUUUUAAGAAGGUAAUUAAAGUUUAUAUAGGGGUUGUUAAUAUAUGAACGCCUAUUUUGUUUAAGAUGAAGUUGUCCUUCCAUAUUAGUUAGAAUUGUCAACUAGACAUAGUUUAAGAUAUUGUGAAUUUUGAAUGUGUAGUGGGUUCGCUUGGGGACAAGGAAAGGAGAAAAUUAAAACCCCAAUGAUUGAAACUUAACUAACAUGAAGUACUAAUUAAGUCAUAUAUGCAUUAAUCAAAGUAUUUAGGUUUUGUAUUAUUUUGCAUGCCGAGUCAUGCAAAGUUGAUUUUGUUUUACUAUUGCCAUUGACAAGCUACGUUGAUUAACUAGUUUGGAUUGUAAAAAAGAAAAAAUAUCUGCAUGUUUCUUAAUCAAUCAUCCUAUUAUACUGAUAAAGACAUGAUCUUUUUAUUUCGCUUUAUAUUACACAACUAAGAUAAAUUAUUUAAUGAAACUUUUGGAUUAUACUAAUAAAAAGGGCUUAGUGGGAUAGCUCCAAAGUUCAAACUCUUAAUUUUAGAAAUGUUGCACCAGAAAUGUUUUUAUCAAAAAGCCCCCCUUCAUAAUGAAGUAAUUCAAAAAAUACAAAGUCUUUUAUAGAUGAAGAAACAAAUUGACAUGAACAAGUUAUCUCCAUAUGGGAUGAUUAAUCUUUAAAAAUAUCUAUUAUCAGCAGAUUCAUCAAUUCAUUUUGGUGUUCUGCUUCCUUUGUUAUUUCCAUUGUUUAUGUGCAGGCAUUUAGAUAUUUAAUGCUCGAAUCAGUGUUGUUCUAAUUUCAUACUUUUCUAUCCCUUCUUACACAUAAAAUAAUACAACACACAUCCCUAAUCCUAUUUUUCACUUCCCUGCUUACACCCAAAUUUAUAUCUUAAACAUAUUUAAGUACAUUUAAUAUUCAAACUCUACAUCAUAUUAAUUUAAGCCAUGAUAUGAGAUGAAUACAUCAUUCAAGUUAUGAAAAUUUUCAAAAAUGUUGCACCAUUGAUAAUUUGUGCGAUGAACUCUAGUCUACUUCAUACUAUUUAUUGUAUAAACUAACUGAGUUCUCAAAAGUUUAAUGGAACUCACUAUACUAACUUGCUCAAAUUUAAGGCAUCUUUUUUUAACCUAUUUUAGAAGUAGUUCUCAAAAGUCAUCAUGCACGAUAUUUUAUAAGUAUAAAUUAGUAUGGUUUACAAUUUAAAAUCUCUAUGAGUUAACCUGAUGCUGUGAUUAGUGACACUAUGCAUUAGAAAUUUUGAAGAUUCAGUUUUGAUGAACACUAUAGCUACGUGCCUAGAAUUUAUUUCUUUGAAAUGACAUGCUUAGAAAAUAAUUAACUGAGAUAGUAACAGCAUAUUGGCAAUUAUAUUUGCUCAUACCGACACAUUGUUUAGUCAAAUCUAUUAUCUUAUUGCCCAUAUUUUGAUAUGGAUUCUGAUCUCCACCAAUUAAUACUAUGCAUUCACCUUCGCAUCUUAGAAAACGUCCUUUUCUUUCUCUUAAACACAAUUUCUUUAAAGACACAACCACCAUAUUUUUAUUUCUUCAGUUACAGAUAUAUUACACAAAACUCAUAUUUAAAUACUGCUCUUGUUUUAAAAGCAUUGUUGCAUGUUUAUUUAGGCAGUCAAGCACUAUUACUAUCUAUAAAAAUAGAAUUAAAGACUGCUAAAGUUUUGUACAAUGAAGGUUUUUAUGCUGUGGUUUAGUUAGAAAUUUAAUGCAUGAUUUAAGUUGUAUCGAUAACUUUAUUUUUUUUAUCAGCAACAAUGACAUUUCUAUAUAUACCGAACACUUACGUAACCCAUAUACAAACAAAAUUGUAGAGAGAAUUAUCAAGGUUUUCUAUUCUAUUAAUACUAAAUAUUUACUAACCUUCAUAAUAUUAUCUACAAGUUCAAAUGUAUUCCACAACUAUAAUGUUGUCUAUGCUAGCUACAGGUUUUCCCAAACCAUUGUUUCUUUAGUUUCAUUUUCAAUCUGCAUUAGUUUUCCUUCCAUCAUCAAGUGUUUUGUUUCUAGAUAGCAGCACAGAUCCUCUGUUGCCUAUCUUCCAUUCUUUGCAUUACUAUUGAAUGUAUUAGAAUCUGAAUAUGGAGAUUGAAGAGAAGUAAACCAACAUAAUCAACCCAAUCAUGGAUUUGUGUAUUGAAGAAAAUAUGCCUGGUAGAAAAUGGGCAAACAUAAAAAGAUUAGCGGACAAAUAAAGAGCAACAUAAGACAAAGAUAAUGUCCAAAUCUCUGUCCAUAUUUGUCUUAGCUCAAAUUUCAAAGAAUUAUUAGUGUGUUGUUUAGAUUGAAGUAAAUUAUUUCUACAAAACAACAGUAAUCUGAUAGUAUCUUCAUUUAUUUAUUUUAUAAUUGUGAUGGCUUACAAGAUGGUUUUUUUAUUGGGUUAUUUUGGAUAAAAAUAUUUUCGAUGAAAUAUCAUCUUUAUGCGAUUUCUUUAAACUGUUCGUAUAUACUAUAUUUUGCUUGUAAAUAGGUUGAUGUACCAAAGUACAUUCACAUUUAUAAAUUCUUUUGACUGGUAAAACAAGUCACAUGUUUAACUAAACGAAUCAAUUUAGUUCAAUUUAUUUUUAGUUAUUUAAAUUUUUUUUAAUCAAAUUUAACUUAUCGAUGACUUAAUUCACUUAAAAAUAUUUUUAUUUUCUUAAUUUAUAUUAUAUAUUUGUCCCAUUAAAGUGGAUUGUUUCCACUCAUUCUACCCAUUUAUCAAUAACAGUACGAUCACACUGAAUAUCUAUUUUUCCAAAAAUUAUCAUAAAUUAAAAGUUAAAAUAUUAAUGGAUAUACUAGACAAACAAAUAAAUUCAAUAUUCAAAAAUAUAUUAUUCGUAAUAUUAUAAUAUUUUAAAAAAUCAUAUCAAAUCAUCAACUAAUAUAAUUAAAAAUAACAAAUAAUUAUAAUAAAAAUGUGAUGAAAAAUGAUUAAAAAAGUAUAAAAAGUUGUUAGUAUUACAUAUUAUCGUUCCAAUCCAAUUCAAAUAUAUAUAUAUAUAUAUAUAUAUAUAAAAGCAAAAACAUGAUCUAUUUCAAUUUCUUAACCAUUUCACACUCAUAACUGAAUAUAAAACAAAAAAUUUGAUGGGACAUGAACAUUCUACAACUGUUUCUCUUUCUUUAACUUCCAUUGAUUUUCUUGCAAUCAGUUCUGAUUUCUCCUUGAGUACCUGUCAAAGGACUGAUGUUACCCAUGUUGAUCAUUGAUUGAGCAAAAGUUUCGAAGAAAGCAGAUUGGUUGUUGGCAAAGUUGUUAACAAUGGAGAUUGUGGAAGAGCCAUUGGUGGAGAAGAGCUCUUGGUCUGUUUGAAGAAGACCCAUGUUGAUGAGAAGAUUGGUGAAAUAACUGUUGUCAAAAGUGUCAGAGGUUGAAGGAUCAAGGUUGUUCAAUGUAGAUCCACUCCCAUUUUGGGGACAGUUUUGCUGUAGAGUGGCCAAAUAGGUUGAGUUCAGGGUUGGAUCAGGACUUCCUGUGCCACUGAAGUUGAAUAACCUUUGGGAGAAAAACUGGCAUUGUGCACGUCCAAAAGUGUGCGCACCUGAUACAAAACUCCACCAAUCAAUCAUUUUAUAUGAUUUCCAUGCAUGGAGAGAAAUUUUCAUGCAGUUCAACAUUAUUAUAUAUUAUUCAUUUUCUUAACAAAAUAAACAGCUAAAAAACUAGACGUGCAAUUAUUCUUUUACUUCAUUUUUCAUUUUAUGAAAAAGGUAUUAGAGUCACGAUCAUAUAUUUCUAUAUAAUAAUUCAUCUACAUUAUGAUAGAAACAUUGUAGUUAUACGUACCAGAUAGUGCAACAAGAUCUGUUGUGUCUAAGCCAACAGCAGAGAAUUUGGAUGUGAUGUCGUCUAGGCUUCCAAAUGGAGAAGGAAGGGAGGUGUUGGCACCAGCUUGGUUUGCAGUUAAACUGUCUCUUCUUCCAAGUAAUACACUCCAUGAAGGACCUCCAGACUGCAGAAUUUUACAUUAAAUGUAACUAGCAGAAGAAAAAUAUUGGUUUCUUAUCUACGUGGCUGCAUAUGCUUCUCCCAAGAACAAAGUCAAAGAAUGUAGAAAACAUCAUAAACUAACUUAAAAAAUGUUCUUAUACUGUAAAGGUCUUGGAAGAUUUCAUUAACAUGUAGAAUGAAGUUACCAGGGACACAGAGGAUUCUGCAGCAAGGGCAAGAAUAUCAGCACAAGAUACAACACCAGGGCAUGAACUUUCGAGGGAACUCUUGAUGCUGUCAACCACAUCAAAUCCCCGAACUGAAUUGGCGUUGGGAGCUGCAGUUUUCUCACUUUGUGUGAUGUUACCACCAACAUCCAGCAAAAUGGACCCAUCACAUCCCUAGUCAAAGAAACAAAUAACAGUUAUUAGUGAUGAAUAAUCUGUGACAGAAUGAAGGGAAAAAGACAUGGAAGAUGGAAGUUUACAUCGACAAAGCAAUCAUGAAAGUGGAGACGAAGGAGGCUUGCAGCAAUACGUGAAUCAGAUGUCAAAGCCUGCUGCACAGAAUUCCUGACAAUGGUUGANACAUUGGAGCAUGUGGUGGAAUAGAAGGUUGCACUCAAUUGCCCUUCUGAAGGGAAAACCAAU